rnacentral:piRNA from 1 species
UAGAAAAUACAUUUUGGGUAGUGCAGUCC